UGUGCCUUCGGGAACUGUGAGACAGGUGCUGCAUGGCUGUCGUCAGCUCGUGUUGUGAAAUGUUGGGUUAAGUCCCGCAACGAGCGCAACCCUUAUCCUUUGUUGCCAGCGAUUAGGUCGGGAACUCAAAGGAGACUGCCAGUGAUAAACUGGAGGAAGGUGGGGAUGACGUCAAGUCAUCAUGGCCCUUACGACCAGGGCUACACACGUGCUACAAUGGCGCAUACAAAGAGAAGCGACCUCGCGAGAGCAAGCGGACCUCAUAAAGUGCGUCGUAGUCCGGAUUGGAGUCUGCAACUCGACUCCAUGAAGUCGGAAUCGCUAGUAAUCGUGGAUCAGAAUGCCACGGUGAAUACGUUCCCGGGCCUUGUACACACCGCCCGUCACACCAUGGGAGUGGGUUGCAAAAGAAGUAGGUAGCUUAACCUUCGGGAGGGCGCUUACCACUUUGUGAUUCAUGACUGGGGUGAAGUCGUAACAAGGUAACCGUAGGGGAACCUGCGGUUGGAUCACCUCCUUACCUUAAAGAAGC
rnacentral:rRNA from 1 species